rnacentral:tRNA from 3 species
GGGCUUGUAGUUUAUAAGAAUAGUCGGCUUCGGAUCGAAAGGUAGGGACACAUCCUCGGGUCUU